rnacentral:rRNA from 1 species
AUUCCAGCUCCAAUAGCGUAUAUUAAAGUUGUUGCAGUUAAAACGCUCGUAGUCGGAUUUCGGGGCGGGCCGACCGGUCUGCCGAUGGGUAUGCACUGGCCGGCGCGUCCUUCCACCCGGAGACCGCGCCUACUCUUAACUGAGCGGGCGCGGGAGACGGGUCUUUUACUUUGAAAAAAUCAGAGUGUUUCAAGCAGGCAGUCGCUCUUGCAUGGAUUAGCAUGGGAUAAUGAAAUAGGACUCUGGUGCUAUUUUGUUGGUUUGCACAUUUAGAGAAUGAUUAACAGGGACAGUUGGGGGUAUUCAUAUUUACAUGUCAGAGGUGAAAUUCUUGGAUUUUGGAAAGAUGAACUACUGCGAAGGCAUUUACCAAGGAUAUUUUCAUUA